UUCGUAGGCGGUGUGGCAAGUUGGGAGUGAAAUCUCUGGGCUCAACCCAGAGGCUGCUUCCAAAACUGCUGUGCUUGAGUGUGAGAGAGGCUCGUGGAAUUGCAGGUGUAGCGGUGAAAUGCGUAGAUAUCUGCAGGAACACCCGUGGCGAAAGCGGCGAGCUGGAUCACUACUGACGCUGAGGAAUGAAAGCUAGGGGAGCAAACAGGAUUAGAUACCCUGGUAGUCCUAGCCCUAAACGAUCAGGACUUGGGGUGCCACCCGUUCGGGUGUCGUCCCGGAGCUAACGCGUUAAGUCCUGCACCUGGGGAGUACGGUCGCAAGACUGAA
rnacentral:rRNA from 1 species